GGGGGUGUUCUUGGAUUCGACAGGGGUCAGUUUGAAUUAGGUUGCAGUCGUCGGGAGACGUUAAACCUCAAAACAAAUAUCUGGAAACAGAACUAAUUACGCUUUCGCUUAGUAGUCGACGUUAGACUCGCGAAAUGCUAGCGCAUGAGCUCUCACAAUCAUGCUGUCUAGUAACAUAACCUAGUGGGAUAAGGGAACUAGGAUGUCUCGACUAGAACCUCGAAAAUACAGAGAAUCGGUAAGUGAAAGACUGCUUGUGGAUCGUAGCUUACUUAAAUCUAUUCGACAAGAUAAACUGUAGACGCCUAAUAUGGGACGGCUUUUGGACAGGGGUUCGAUUCCCCUCACCUCCACCA
rfam:Sharpea azabuensis strain DSM 20406 genome assembly, contig: Ga0059086_1027